UUCACACCCGCCCACCGGACGGACAGCCUCAGUCUGCAGGGUUACAGCCUGGAGACAGCCACAGGAGCCUCAAUUUCCUUCUGCAUAGAAACCAGCAGGAUCUCCUUGUGCCGUGGCCCCCAGGUGUGGAGCUUGCGGUACCUUUGCCUCCUGGUGAACUGUCCUCCAUCCUUGAUUGGAAACCCAGACUUGCUACCCAUUCAGAGCCUUCCAGAGCCUCAGUUUCCCCAUCUGUAAAAUGGAGGAUCAAGUCUUACCUCGGAAGGAUCAAAUGAGGUGAUAAUACCUACAAAGCGCUUCAUAACUGGCACGUGGCAAGUACUCAACACGUUAACUAUUAAUCAUUAUUACCAAGCAGACGUUUCAGCACUCACACAGAAUAGGAAUGGUUCACACUUCUGCUUUCCCAGUAGACUGGGAGCUACUUAAAGAAAAUGAACUUUUCAAUCUCUGGCCUCAGCUCCCAGUGCAGUGCCUGGCACAGAAUAGGUGCUCAUUAAAUGCUUGUUAAAUGAGUGAAUUACAGCCAAGAAGAGCUCUGCUCCCAGCCUGCCCAUGUUGAAUGUAGCUGCAGAUAAUAGCCAACAACAUUUAUUGAGAACUUGCAUGUGCCAGGAACUAAUGGUGCCAGGCUCUUUAUGUGCAUGAUCUAGUUCACUAUCCAAGCAGCCCUGUAAGGUGGUUGUUAUUAUUAUCCACGUAUUUCAGUUACAGAGGGGCAAGGCUGGAAUGUCAUCUCAGCCUGCUGGAGCUUUCAUGGCAUAACCUCUGCCCAGCAGAGUCCCAUGUGCCAGUGGGCAGAAGGGGGACCCAAUGGGGUGAAGGAGGCAGUGUGUUUGUCCACUUUUGCAUUGUUAUAGAGAACUACCUGAGACUGGGUUGGCUAUUUAUUUAUUUAUUUGUUCAUUGAGUCAGAGUUUCCCUUUUGUUGCCAAGGCUGGAGUGCAACGGAAUGAUCUCGGCUCAUUGCAAC